rnacentral:rRNA from 1 species
AGUUUGAUCCUGGCUCAGGAUGAACGCUAGCUACAGGCUUAACACAUGCAAGUCGAGGGGCAGCAUGGUCUUAGCUUGCUAAGGCCGAUGGCGACCGGCGCACGGGUGAGUAACACGUAUCCAACCUGCCGUCUACUCUUGGACAGCCUUCUGAAAGGAAGAUUAAUACAAGAUGGCAUCAUGAGUCCGCAUGUUCACAUGAUUAAAGGUAUUCCGGUAGACGAUGGGGAUGCGUUCCAUUAGAUAGUAGGCGGGGUAACGGCCCACCUAGUCUUCGAUGGAUAGGGGUUCUGAGAGGAAGGUCCCCCACAUUGGAACUGAGACACGGUCCAAACUCCUACGGGAGGCAGCAGUGAGGAAUAUUGGUCAAUGGGCGAGAGCCUGAACCAGCCAAGUAGCGUGAAGGAUGACUGCCCUAUGGGUUGUAAACUUCUUUUAUAAAGGAAUAAAGUCGGGUAUGGAUACCCGUUUGCAUGUACUUUAUGAAUAAGGAUCGGCUAACUCCGUGCCAGCAGCCGCGGUAAUACGGAGGAUCCGAGCGUUAUCCGGAUUUAUUGGGUUUAAAGGGAGCGUAGAUGGAUGUUUAAGUCAGUUGUGAAAGUUUGCGGCUCAACCGUAAAAUUGCAGUUGAUACUGGAUAUCUUGAGUGCAGUUGAGGCAGGCGGAAUUCGUGGUGUAGCGGUGAAAUGCUUAGAUAUCACGAAGAACUCCGAUUGCGAAGGCAGCCUGCUAAGCUGCAACUGACAUUGAGGCUCGAAAGUGUGGGUAUCAAACAGGAUUAGAUACCCUGGUAGUCCACACGGUAAACGAUGAAUACUCGCUGUUUGCGAUAUACUGCAAGCGGCCAAGCGAAAGCGUUAAGUAUUCCACCUGGGGAGUACGCCGGCAACGGUGAAACUCAAAGGAAUUGACGGGGGCCCGCACAAGCGGAGGAACAUGUGGUUUAAUUCGAUGAUACGCGAGGAACCUUACCCGGGCUUAAAUUGCAGAUGAAUUACGGUGAAAGCCGUAAGCCGCAAGGCAUCUGUGAAGGUGCUGCAUGGUUGUCGUCAGCUCGUGCCGUGAGGUGUCGGCUUAAGUGCCAUAACGAGCGCAACCCUUGUUGUCAGUUACUAACAGGUUCCGCUGAGGACUCUGACAAGACUGCCAUCGUAAGAUGUGAGGAAGGUGG